rnacentral:rRNA from 1 species
GAUGAACGCUGGCGGCGUGCCUAAUACAUGCAAGUCGAGCGAACAGACGAGGAGCUUGCUCCUCUGACGUUAGCGGCGGACGGGUGAGUAACACGUGGAUAACCUACCUAUAAGACUGGGAUAACUUCGGGAAACCGGAGCUAAUACCGGAUAAUAUAUUGAACCGCAUGGUUCAAUAGUGAAAGACGGUUUUGCUGUCACUUAUAGAUGGAUCCGCGCCGCAUUAGCUAGUUGGUAAGGUAACGGCUUACCAAGGCAACGAUGCGUAGCCGACCUGAGCGGGUGAUCGGCCACACUGGAACUGAGACACGGUCCAGACUCCUACGGGAGGCAGCAGUAGGGAAUCUUGCGCAAUGGGCGAAAGCUUGACGGAGCAACGCCGCGUGAGUGAUGAAGGUCUUCGGAUCGUAAAACUCUGUUAUUAGGGAAGAACAAAUGUGUAAGUAACUAUGCACGUCUUGACGGUACCUAAUCAGAAAGCCACGGCUAACUACGUG